ACGUAGGGGACAAGCGUUGUCCGGAUUUAUUGGGCGUAAAGAGCUCGUAGGCGGUUCCGUAAGUCGGAUGUGAAAACUCAAGGCUCAACCUUGAGACGCCAUUCGAUACUGCGGUGACUCGAGUCUGGUAGAGGAGUGUGGAAUUUCUGGUGUAGCGGUGAAAUGCAUAGAUAUCAGAAGGAACACCAACGGCGAAGGCAGCACUCUGGGCCAGUACUGACGCUGAGGAGCGAAAGCGUGGGGAGCAAACAGG
rnacentral:rRNA from 1 species